AAUCAAAGGAGAUAACUUUUUUGUGUAUCAGACGUAGUUGAUGCAGAAAAGACUUAUCAUCAAAUUCUAUGAAUUUUUAUACAGGCCUUUAAGAAUGUACUAGACAAGUAUUUGGGGGUUCACAUUACUUCACCAACAUCAAACCUAUGAAGCAUGUCUCGGCAUCGUGUACUGGCUGAUCGGACAAGAGAGAACAUGUUGCUAUUGAUAUACUAUUGCGAACAUAAGCGAAGAGGGUAUCGACGACACUCGCCAUGCGCUCGCCGUGUGUAUUACACAUGCAAAAUGAUAAUUUUCAUUGGUUACAUCAAGGUUUAAGCCAAAACACCAGUUCAAAAGUAGUAAUAUCUAAAAUAUGGUUAGAAAACCAUAAACUCUAAAAUUCUGAUUCAGAAACAUGAUCUUUAGAAUUUUAAUACUUGCACAAACGUAAAUCAUCUUCCAAUUCAUCCUCAUCAACCAAAGACAAAACAGGACUUUUAGACCAUAUGAUUCCCUCUCUGGGUUUGACGAUAGAUUAUAUCAUAAGGCACAUCAACACUAUUAUUGCUCGCUUUACGUGAUACUAGUUUAGCGUUCAAUAGCAAGCGCUUCGUGUACAUCGCAUGGCCUUGGAGUCUUAAGGCGACUGAAUCCCAUUUGGAUAAACUAGUAUCUUAAGCUUCUGUUCAAAAAAAGAAAAGUCAUAACCAUACAGUUAAGCUAUAUAUAUGAAGAAUUUAGAACCUGAUGUAUGGUAUAAAAAUAGUUAUUCAAUGAAAAAGUUAGUGAAACAAAAAACGAGUACGAGCUAGAAAUAAGCAAAAGCAUAAAGCAUAACACAAAGGGAGUGUUUGUGACUUUUUUUUUGUCUUUGAGGAAUAUUAAUAUUUGAUUUAAUUUGUAAAGUUAUGGAUAUUCAAACUUGUCAUGUCAAAGGGAAAUAAAUUAUGGAUCAAAAAAAAAUUUGUUGAUAUAUAUAUAUUUUUUUUUGAAAAAAAUCUUUUUUUUGUUUUUUUUUUUUUGCAUAAAGCAUAUAGCACAAAGGGAGUGUUUGUGACUUCUUCUUUUUUGAUUUUUUUUUUGAUAUUUUGCCCAUCCCUAUAACCAAUUACACAUCUAAAAUCGAACUGAAUCGAUGUCGUGAACUAGAAAACUUUCAUUAAUAUAUUAAAUUCAUCAGUUUACCAUAUAUUAAAUCUUAAAUAAUAACGAGUAAACCCAAGGAUCAACUGCAUGUGCUUUUAAAUUUGUCAUCCAUGGGACUGUUAAUUAAUUAAAUAACGAUAAAGUUAUGUAAACUUUCCUUAAGACUAAUAAAGGGACCAAAGCAGAUGUCAAAAAAAAAGAAGGGACCAAAGCUCUUUGUAAUAAAUAAAGGUUUAAAAGGGUUAGCUUGCUCUCUACUUUUCUUUUCCUUAUAAAGUGAAACCCUACCGACUUCUUCGCGGCUGACCAACAAAUAAAUAAAAAACAUUCGGAAUCUUCCAGACACAUCCACUAUUGGCUGCUCUCUGGUACGUGAAAACUUGUUCAUAUGUUUCCUCGUCUCUGCUUGGUUAAAUUGUUUUCUUCUCCCAAGUAUCGCCAUGGACUAGACUCUUACCUCCUUCGAGUCUAGCACACAUAAAUUAAGAGCUGUCUGCAACAUUAAUUAAACAUUAAUUACAUGUGCAACCUCUUAGGUUUUUCAAGAUCAUUAGCAAAUUGCACAGUUUAAAUGCUUUUUUCACUAUGGUUAACUUUGAAGACCUAUAUAUAAUAAGACAUGGUUUUUGAGCUUUGCAGAUUUUUUUACUGUGAAAAAAUGUGUGAAAAUAUGAGUUUAUCCGAAGAAGAAAUCAGAAUGCUUUUCAGAGUCAACAAGACACUUAACCAUAUGCUCAAAGAUCGUGGGUACAUUGUCACGGAUGCUGAACUUGAGAUGACACAAGAACAGUUUAUCGACCAAUACGGCGAGAACAUGGAAAGAAAAGAUCUUGUUAUUCUCAAGACUAAGAAGAACGAUGAAUCUGAUAAGGUUUGUGAGUAAGUUUUUUGUUUUUAAGUGUUUUUUUUUUCAAUUCUUCUAAUUUAAUGCUCAAGUUCCUUCUCGUGGUGGUGGUAGAUCUUUGUCUUUUUUCUACAAGAAACAAAAGUUAAAAUGGUCGGCAUCAAGGCUUGCUUUGAGCGCAUGGUAGCUCAGAACGUCUUCAGAGCAAUUCUUGUUGUGAGGAAGGAUAUGAAUCGCUUCGCUCUCUCUGCUGUAACCGACGCAAACUCAAAACGAAUACUUUACUUGGAAAGUUUUAAGGUUUGUGAGAAAGUUUAUGCUGCUCCUCCCUUGUUUGUGUCUCGAAACCUACUCUUAUAAAGCUCAUGUUUCAUGUGCAGGAGACAGAGCUUCUAAUGAACGUGAAGGAACACGCUUUUGUUCCGGGGCAUAUAGCUCUGACAACUGAGGAGAAGAACGCUUUGUUGGAGAAGUACACUGUGCAAGAGAAUCAGGUUAGGUAUCUUGACACUCUUUAACCAAUGAAAACGAGACAAAACAAAACUUUGAUGUUUGAUCUCUUUGUUGGGAUUGUUUUUUCACUGUAGCUAACAUGUUUGUUUUUUACUCACUUGUGUUGGAUUUUUGAUAGCUUCCACGUAUUCAGUAUACGGACCCUAUAGCGAAAUACUAUGGGCUAAAACGUGGAGAAGUCGUGAAGAUCAUACGCAACAGUGAAACAUCUGGUCGUUAUGUCACAUACCGCUUUGUUAUAUGAUACUAAGAGCUUCUGAUAGGAUCAGAUCAUGGAGUUACCGGAUAAAGACUUAGAACGACUUCAUUAGUUUUUUAAUUUAGUGAAAUUUUCAGUUUUGGUGAGGAGAUGUAAGGAACUUUAUAUGUUUUUAUCUCAAUCAAUAUAUAUAUAUAGAUAGUAGUUGAAAGACUUGGACCUUGAUCAUGAUAUAUAGUGCAUGUCAAGAAUAGACACUGCUCAAUGGCUAUAUUAUAAGUAAUCAAACUAAAAAAAAAACUCAAGUCCUAAAAACUGAAAAGUGGAUUCACAAAGGAGAUGCUGUGGUUUUGUGACAUGCUUCUUCAGCCAAUAACCUCUGAGUUUGAGUCAUCAGAAGGCCAUAUCACGGUCUCCAUCAGCCGUUCACGCAUCAAGGCCAAGUUCUCAUCUGAUAUAUCUUGAUAUAUCUUCCCAUGGUCGCAUUUCUAUAACAAACAACAAACUAGAACACCAUUAGUUUUUGAAUCUUUUCUGGUUCCCAUGACAGAUUUAGAGGUUGGUUUUACCUUGAUCCACUUGCCAUACAAGUGGAGACGCGUGAUCAUAACUCUUUCUGCAAGCUCCUGACUCUCCUACAAGUCAGUUGUGACAAGAUAAACACAAGAGUUCUCAUUUGAUUCUCUAGUCAAUAUGUUUCAUGCCAAGGUCUAAACAAGUAUGAAUUAAAAGUAAUAUACCACAACACAGAAAGUGGUUAUGAUAAAAACAAAUAUAUUUUAGCAAAAAAUAAAAACAAAUAUAUGAAACUGCUUAUUCUUAUUCUCAUUCACUAGCAUAGGAAGAACUCUCAACCCAAAGGGCUCUCCCAAAACCUUCUAUAAUUUUACAACCUUGAACAAUUUCCCCUCACUAACUGCACUCUAAGUAACUCACAAGAGCUACGAUCUACUACAUUUAGUCCUACGCUAAAUAUAGUAGAUCAAUAGAUAAAGUUUAAGCAGCUAAACAUCUUCAACUAGGCUUAUCAGAUGCUAUAGACUAAGUUUUUGUUACCUUGCCGAGUUUGCGGAGGAAACGUUUGCCUUCAGUUGGUCUGUUUGAUACGACGUAACUAUUGUAAAACAAAAAAUAAACCAUAAGACCAUAAGCCAAGAAUUAUAAUCUAAUCAAGUAUUUUUGUAAUCAUUGCACAUGAGUGACUUACUUAUAAAACCAAGUGUAUUGGGGAGGAUUCAUUUCAUAUAACUGAUGAAGAACCGUCCUCACAGCUUUGUAAGUGAAAUAGUUAAUAAGUUGCUGCAAAAUUUGUAAAAGUGAUGAGAGAGCCAUAUAAGCUUAAAACAAUUUGUUUCAUUCAAAAAAGUUCUCACCGUUUUGACAUCUCCGAAGGUAUCAUCGUAGUUCCCAGCAACGUCCUCGUUAACAAUCAAGAGCUUCUUCUUGCUCCUUCUACUCGCAAUUCUUGGUACGCGUUUAGAAGAAAUCCUGAAAACAAUGCUUGAGCCAGUAAAGGAGCUUCCUAACUCUAGCUUUCUUGAACUGCCAUGGAUCUUCUUCUUGCUCCUCGUGUGAGCAUCCAGACAUAAACAUGGAACGCUCGGAGAAUCCAUCACAGAUGAGCCAAUAACAAACAGAGACCCCACCAUUACUCCCAAGCAGCAAGAAGAUCAGAACUAUUCCCCCGGUGAUAUGGGAGAACCAGUUUCAGAAAUCAACAAAGAGUUUGGUGGAUGGAUGGUAAGAAUCUGAAGAAAGAAAGAAAGAUGAAACGUGUUUGGGGUAAUACGAAACAGAGGAACACGAGUUGGGUGUGUAAGAUGGAAAAUGGCCGUUGAAUAACAGCCAGUCAAAAAUCAUAUACAAGUCUUUUAGAUAUUUAUUUUUUCUUCCUAAAAGCAAAGGCAAAGACAAACAAGAAAACCCACCGGGUGGGCUUUCGGGUUCACGUGGAUUGGAUACUAAGUAGAAUAAGGUCGUCUUGUAACUUGUAACUUAGAAAUUGCACAGAGCAUAUCACAUGUCCAUCUUAAAGGAAUAGACUAGGAAAAUACUAAUGUAGAGAAAAUAGAUUGAAUGUGGUUAAAGAGGUGCGAUAGACCAAUUGCCAAGAAGAAAAGUCCAGGUACGAUGUGGACCACCCAUGUUAUAGCUUUGAAGGUUCACUACAUUGCAAAUAUGAAUGACUUGAAUAUGAAUGUAACAGUUGAAUAAUGUUGUAAAUAUACAUUUAUAUGGUUAAUAAGAGGUGCCAUAGACCAAGUGCAAAGAAGAAAAGUCCCGGUACAGUGUGGACCACCAAUGUUAUAGCUUUGAAGGUUAAAGAUUGUGGAGGAUGGCAACUGGCAAUAAAUAUAUAACUUUGCAAAGAUAGACGAAUUUAAGAUUCAGUAUAUAACAGUUGAACGAGCAAAGGUCUUGAUUUUUGCUUCAAGAAUGAUGAUGCAACAUCAAACCUAUGAAGCAUGUCUCGGCAUCGUGUACUGGCUGAUCGGACAAGAGAGAACAUGUUGCUAUUGAUAUACUAUUGCGAACAUAAGCGAAGAGGGUAUCGACGACACUCGCCAUGCGCUCGCCGUGUGUAUUACACAUGCAAAAUGAUAAUUUUCAUUGGUUACAUCAAGGUUUAAGCCAAAACACCAGUUCAAAAGUAGUAAUAUCUAAAAUAUGGUUAGAAAACCAUAAACUCUAAAAUUCUGAUUCAGAAACAUGAUCUUUAGAAUUUUAAUACUUGCACAAACGUAAAUCAUCUUCCAAUUCAUCCUCAUCAACCAAAGACAAAACAGGAC
rnacentral:lncRNA from 1 species